ensembl:snRNA U6 U6 spliceosomal RNA
GCACUAGUUCUCUAGUGCAUACACUAAAAUUGGAACGAUACAGAGAAGAUUAGCAUGGCCCCUGCGCAAGGAUGACACGCAAAUCCGUGAAGCGUUCCUCAUUUAG